AAAACGGCAGAGGGGAUGUGUGGUAGAAAUUAGACAGGUAAAAAAGUAGCAGCAUGAGUACUACCAGCAACAGCUGGACAAAGAAAACAAAGUCCAAUUCUGCAAUUUUAUGCAGAAUUCAAGGGCAUAGAAGUAUUUUAACCAGACAGACACACCAUCCCAAAUCUGAUCUCAUGGUCUUCCCAAGCUCUCUCACUGGUCACUGUAUUACACACUCUCAAAUACCUCACAUAAAUUCAUACAACAAACACUCUUCCCCAUAACCCCAAGCUCUCUCUCUCUCUCUCUCUCUAAUGGAACCACCAUUGCUGCCCACUCUGCUUCUCCUCCUCCUCCUCCUCCUCUUCUCCACCACCUUCUCAGCCUCUGCUCCUCCUCUCCGCCCCACUCCAUCUCCUACCUCCUCCCCAACCCCACCAAAGUCCACCACCCCCAAAGCCCCAUCUCCUACCUCCUCCCCAACCCCCAAAACCCCAUCUCCUACCUCCUCCCCAACCCCACCGAAGUCCACCACCCCAAAAACCCCAUCUCCUAUCUCCUCCCCAACCCCACCAAACUCCUCCACCCCCAAAACCCCAUCUUCACCAUCUUCCAGCUCUUUAGACCCAAAGCAACUCAGAGCCCUCCAAUCUCUCAACAUCCCAACCUCCAAAGACCCCUGCACCCAACCCUCCCUCCUCCUCCCCAACACCACUCUCUGCGACUCCUCCAAGCCCUUCCGCCACAUCCUCUCCCUCCGCCUUGCCAACUGCUCCGACGACGUCGCUUUGUCCUUCACUGCUCUCAAGUCCCUCUCCACCCUCCAGUCCCUCCAGUUCUUCAAACUGCCCCAUUGCCCCUAUCCGCUUCCCGGCCGAUCUCGUUGCCUCUCUCCACUCCUUCACCUGCAUUAACAGCCUCCGCAGGUCUGGAGCCAUACCAGAGUCAAUGUCUGCAAUUCCAGGGUUGGUUCAUGUUGAUCUGAGCUCCAAUCAGCUGAAUGGUACAAUUCCAAAGUUCCUCUCUGAUAUGAAGAGCUUGAAGCACUUGAAUCUUGCAAACAAUGACUUCCAUGGAGUUGUGCCUUUCAAUGUGUCAUUUAUAAACAAAUUGGCAGUGUUCAAGAUUAGCAGGAACAGCAAUUUGUGCUAUAACCACUCUGUUUUGUCAUCAAAAUUGAAGCUUGGGAUUUCUCCUUGUGACAAGCAUGGAUUGCCCAUGUCACCUCCUCCGGCCAAAGGCGAUUCAUCAGCAGAAGACAGCAGUGAUUCAGAUUAUGAUGACAGCGAUGGGGAUGACUCUGAUCAGAAGAAGGAUCGUCAUCAUGGGCCAAGUAAGGUUGUUCUUGGUGUGGCCAUUGGGCUUUCUUCCAUAGUCUUCCUCAUUAUUUUCUUGGUUCUUCUCUCCAAAUGGUGUGGUUGAAACUUGAAAUUGAAUUGUUUGUUGAUUAAAGUUUUAUUAGAUUAGGCCAAAUUGGUUAUUGAAAUUGAAUUUUGAUUAAUUUAUUAUUAUACUCAAUGAUGAGGAGGACGAGUAGAUGGGAAGGUGAAAAAAUUGAAAACAAACCAAAAAAGAAAAAGGAGGGAGAGGAAUCAUUAAUUUGGAGUGUUAUUUUUAUCAUUGCUUUGAUGGCUUGCUGGAGAAAAGAGCAGUGGGUUUCCAUUAUUUUGUGAUAGAUGUGGCCAGUGGCCACUUGGGUGUAUUAUUUCUUAGCUGCCAUAGAGCCUAAAAGCGGCUUCAUCUGUUUUCCAGAUUAUAUGUAUGUAAUUUUUUUCUUCAGCCACAAGCAUUUAUCUUCUUUAUUUAUUUAUUUUUGAUCAGGUAGCUUUCUCUGAGUUUAAUUGCGUUCUUCUUAGUGUAAAUAUUCAUGAAUUGAUAACAAUGUGGAUUGGCUAAAUAUUUUUCUUGUAUUAAAGUUUUGGUACAAUUGGG